rnacentral:rRNA from 1 species
AAUUUUGAUUUUAUUAAAUUUAUGAUUUUUACUUUAGGUUUUUAAAGAUUUAUAUUUUUUAUUAAUUUAAAUAAAAAAUUUAAUUAAUUAUAGUGAAAAGUAUCGUUAGAGAAUAAUUUUAUUUGUUAAUAAGAAUAAUUUAUUUUUAGUACCUUGUGUAUCAGGGUUUAUUAAAUUAAUUUAAAGGUUUUUAUUUUCUCGAAUUUUAAAGAGUUAAGUUUAAAUAUUUGUUUUUGUUAAAUAAAAAUUAUAAAUUUAAACUUGGCAAUGAAACGUUAUUCGUUUUUUAAUAUAUCUAGUUUUUUAAGAAAGAAAUUGAAUUUUUUUAGCUGAGUUAAAUUGGAUUUUUUGUAUUGAUUUAUGGGGCUAGGUAAUAAUUUAAGGGAUAAGCUUUGAAUUAAAAUUUUAUAAAUAAUUAUAUUUACUAAUAAGAAAUAGGAUUAGAAUUUUCAAUUUUUAAAAGAAUGUUAUAAUUGAUUAUUUAUUUGUUGGAAUUUAUAUUUUUUUAAUUUAUUUAUUAAAAUAAUGGUUUAAAUUUUAAAUAUUAUGAAAUAAUGAUAGAAUUAGUAUAUUUUAAUUAAAAAUUAAUUUAAAUCUGGGUGAUAAUUUUAAGGAAUUCGGCAAAAGUUCUCUUACCUGUUUAAUAAAAACAUGUCCUUUAUGAAUAUAAUUUAAGGUCUGGCCUGCUCUAUGAUUAGAUAAAAUUAAAUGGCCGCAGUAUCUUGACUGUGCAAAGGUAGCAUAAUCAUUAGUUUUUUAAUUGGAAGCUGGAAUGAAAGGUUUGAUAAGGAGAAAACUGUCUCAGAAUUAAAUUUAUAAUUUUAUUUUUAAGUUAAAAAGCUUAAAUUUUUUAAAAAGACGAGAAGACCCUAUAGAGUUUAAUAUUGGUUGGAUGAAAUUUUUUAUGGGUUUAAAAUUAUUUUUUGUUGAAUUAAUAUUUUGUUGGGGUGAUGUAAAAAUUUGAUUAACUUUUUAUUUUAUUAGACAUUGAUUUGUGAAUGCUUGAUCCUAAAAUUUAGAUUAUAAGAAAAAAUUUNNNNNNNNNNNNNNNNNAAUUUUUUUAGAGAGUUCAAAUCGAUAAAAAAGAUUGCGACCUCGAUGUUGGAUUAAAAUUUAAAUUUGGUGUAGAAGCUAAAUGACUAGGUCUGUUCGACCUUGAAAAUUUUACAUGAUCUGAGUUUAAACCGGCGUGAGCCAGGUUGGUUUCUAUCUUUUAAUUAAUAAAAUAUUUUAGUACGAAAGGACCAAAUAUUUGAAUAAAAUUUUUUGUUUUGAAUAUUAAU